rnacentral:rRNA from 1 species
AGGAGUUUGAUCCUGGCUCAGGAUGAACGCUGGCGGCGUGCCUAACACAUGCAAGUCGAACGUCCUGUCUCGCAAGGGGCAGGGAGUGGCGGACGGGUGAGUACCACGUGGGUCAUCUACCGUGAGGUGAGGAAUACCGGCGAGAAAUCGCCGACAAGACCGCAUAGCCUCGGUGCAAGCCGAGGAAAGUUUCCGCAAGGAGACGCCACACGAGGAGCCUGCGCCCGAUUAGCUAGCUGGUGGAGUAACGGUUCACCAGGGCGACGAUCGGUAGCUGGUCUGAGAGGACGAUCAGCCACACUGGGAUUGAGAACGGCCCAGACUCCUACGGGGGGCAGCAGUGAGGAAUUUUCGUCAAUGGGGGCAACCCUGAACGAGCAACGCCGCGUGCAGGAAGAAGGUUUUCGGAUCGUAAACUGCUUUUCUCGGGGAAGAGAAGGGACGGUACCCGAGGAAUCAGCCCCGGCUAACUACGUGCCAGCAGCCGCGGUAAUACGUAGGGGGCAAGCGUUGUCCGGAGUUACUGGGCGUAAAGCGCACGCAGGCGGUUCUCUCAGUUCCUGCUGACAGUCGUCGGCUUCACUGACGAAGGAGUGGGAAGACGGGGAGAACUUGAGGGCUUCAGAGGGACACGGAAUUCCGGGGUGGAAGUGGUGAAAUGCGUAAUAUCCCGGAGGAACACCAACA